rnacentral:rRNA from 1 species
CCUACGGGUGGCAGCAGUGAGGAAUAUUGGUCAAUGGGCGGAAGCCUGAACCCGCCAAGUCGCGUGAGGGAUUAAGGCCCUGCGGGUCGUAAACCUCUUUUGCCGGGGAGCAGAGGUCCGGACGUGUCCGGGCCGGCAUAGUACCCGGAGAAAAAGCAUCGGCUAACUCCGUUCCAGCAGCCGCGGUAAUACGGAGGAUGCGAGCGUUAGCCGGAUUUAUUGGGUUUAAAGGGUGCGUAGGCGGGCAUUUAAGCCGGCGGUCAAAUGACGGGGCUCAACCCCGGCCUGCCGUGGGAACUGGGUGACUUGAGUGGGCGAGAAGUAUGCGGAAUGCGUGGUGUAGCGGUGAAAUGCAUAGAUAUCACGCAGAACCCCGAUUGCGAAGGCAGCAUACCGGCGCCCUACUGACGCUGAGGCACGAAAGUGCGGGUAUCGAACAGGAUUAGAUACCCGUGUAGUC